AGAGUUUGAUCAUGGCUCAGGAUGAACGCUAGCUACAGGCUUAACACAUGCAAGUCGAGGGGAAACGACAUCGAAAGCUUGCUUUUGAUGGGCGUCGACCGGCGCACGGGUGAGUAACGCGUAUCCAACCUGCCCACCACUUGGGGAUAACCUUGCGAAAGUAAGACUAAUACCCAAUGAUAUCUCUAGAAGACAUCUGAAAGAGAUUAAAGAUUUAUCGGUGAUGGAUGGGGAUGCGUCUGAUUAGCUUGUUGGCGGGUAACGGCCACAGGCGACGAUCAGUAGGGUUCUGAGAGGAACGGUCCCCCANAUUGGAACUGAGACACGGUCCAAACUCCUACGGGAGCA
rnacentral:rRNA from 1 species